GUUGUGUCAUUAAUGGCUGCAUUGGGCUUCUUGCUUUGUGGAGGAAGAUUGUUUCUCAUGCUGAGGCACUUCCCCAUUGAAUCUAGAGGGAGAAGGAGGAAGCUUCAUGAGGUUGGAUCUGUCACAGCCAUAUGUUUCACCUGCUUUCUGAUCCGAUGCUUUU